GUGGGGAAUAUUGGACAAUGGGCGAAAGCCUGAUCCAGCAACGCCGCGUGAGGGAUGACGGCCUUCGGGUUGUAAACCUCUUUCAGUACCGACGAAGCGCCAAUAACGGUGGUGACGGUAGGUACAGAAGAAGGACCGGCCAACUACGUGCCAGCAGCCGCGGUAAUACGUAGGGUCCGAGCGUUGUCCGGAAUUAUUGGGCGUAAAGGGCUCGUAGGCGGUCUGUUGCGUCGGGAGUGAAAACUUACAGCUUAACUGUGAGCGUGCUUCCGAUACGGGCAGACUUGAGGUAUUCAGGGGAGAACGGAAUUCCUGGUGUAGCGGUGAAAUGCGCAGAUAUCAGGAGGAACACCGGUGGCGAAGGCGGUUCUCUGGGAAUAUCCUGACGCUGAGGAGCGAAAGUGUGGGGAGCGAACAGGAUUAGAAACCCUAGUAGUCC
rnacentral:rRNA from 1 species